rnacentral:rRNA from 1 species
GAUGAACGCUGGCGGCGUGCUUAACACAUGCAAGUCGAACGGGAAUUACUUUAUUGAAACUUCGGUCGAUUUAAUUUAAUUCUAGUGGCGGACGGGUGAGUAACGCGUGGGUAACCUGCCUUAUACAGGGGGAUAACAGUCAGAAAUGACUGCUAAUACCGCAUAAGCGCACAGAGCUGCAUGGCUCAGUGCGAAAAACUCCGGUGGUAUAAGAUGGACCCGCCUUGGAUUAGCUAGUUGGUGAGGUAACGGCCCACCAAGGCGACGAUCCAUAGCCGGCCUGAGAAGGUGAACGGCCACAUUGGGACUGAGACACGGCCCAGACUCAUACAGGAGGCAGCAGUGGGGAAUAUUGAACAAUGGGGAAACCCUGAUGCAGCGACGCCGCGUGAAGGAAGAAGUAUCUCGGUAUGUAAACUUCUAUCAGCAGGGAAGAAUUAGGACGGUACCUGACUAAGAAGCCCCGGCUAACUACGUGCCAGCCGCCGCGGUAAAAC